UCGUAACAAGGUUUCCGUAGGUGAACCUGCGGAAGGAUCAUUACCGAGUGCGGGCCCUCUGGGUCCAACCUCCCAUCCGUGUCUAUCUGUACCCUGUUGCUUCGGCGUGGCCACGGCCCGCCGAAGACUAACAUUUGAACACUGUCUGAAGUUUGCAGUCUGAGUUUUUAGUUAAACAAUAAUUAAAACUUUCAACAACGGAUCUCUUGGUUCCGGCAUCGAUGAAGAACGCAGCGAAAUGCGAUAAUUAAUGUGAAUUGCAGAAUUCAGUGAAUCAUCGAGUCUUUGAACGCACAUUGCGCCCCCUGGUAUUCCGGGGGGCAUGCCUGUCCGAGCGUCAUUGCUGCCCUCAAGCACGGCUUGUGUGUUGGGCUUCCGUCCCUGGUAACGGGGACGGGCCCAAAAGGCAGUGGCGGCACCAUGUCUGGUCCUCGAGCGUAUGGGGCUUUGUCACCCGCUCCCGUAGGUCCAGCUGGCAGCUAGCCUCGCAACCAAUCUUUUUAACCAGGUUGACCUCGGAUCAGGUAGGGAUACCCGCUGAACUUAAGCAUAUCAAUAA
rnacentral:misc_RNA from 3 species